rnacentral:lncRNA from 10 species
CUGUCUCAAAAAAAAAAAAAAAAAAAAAAAAGUCACCAUUAGUCUAUUAAGGGACAAAGUAAAACCUUACGUUUCCAUUGAGCCUCAGAUCACAGAUUCUUUUUUUUUGUUGUUAUACUUUAAGUUUUAGGGUACAUGUGCACAAUGUGCAGGUUUGUUACAUAUGUAUACAUGUGCCAUGUUGGUGUGCUGCACCGAUUAACUCGUCAUUGAUCAUUAGGUAUAACACCUAAUGCUAUGCCUCCCCCCUCCCCCCACCCCACAAGUUUUCAUGGAGACUUCAUUCUGUAGGCAUGUCUGAUUAAACCAUUGGUCAUUGGUAAUAACUGUCAUCA